UGUCUCAGCCCGCCGUGUGUCGCCGCUGUUAGGAAUAACGUUAUUCCUGAGCAACCAGAGCCGCAGGAGCCACGCAUUGGGCAGGGCACUGAAAAACCGUUUAACUGCUACACAAUAAAAAAAAAAAACGCCUGUGCAGAAUAGAAAAGGGGCGGUGCUAGACAGCUUGCUGCUGACAUCAGUCUCUCAGCUGUCCUCCAAAAUCCGCCAGUCUGUGGACAAAACAGCAGGCAAAAUCAAGAUUUUGUUCAAGGACAAGGACAGGAACUGGGACGACAUUGAGAGCAAACUGAGCUCAGAGAGUGAUAUACCACUUCUCAAAACCACUAACAAGGAAAUCUCAACAAUUCUAACAGAGCUGAAGAGGGUGGAAAAGCAAAUCCAAGCCAUAAAUAUCAUGGUAGACCCGGAUGGAACCCUCGAUGCUCCUAACAGAUUAACCCUGGUGAGUCCGAUCAAACCCAAACCCAAGGCCAGCAAAACAGCCUCCAAACCAGCUCUGGACUGAGCCAUCCACAAGCCAGUGGAGAGGUGCCAUUACUAACAAGUGAAGGACAGGAACCCUCAGAAUUGAGCAAACUGGAUCUCUAAUAAACCUUGAAUGUUUUGCAGCACAUUUUUUUUAGCUGGUGUUUCAGUUUUGUUAUGGAAUCUUUUCAGUGCUCUCAAUAAAAAAUUUUUUUAAAAAAUAAAAUAAAAUUUACGUACGUUAGUCAGUU